rnacentral:rRNA from 1 species
GAUGAACGCUGGCGGCGUGCCUAACACAUGCAAGUCGAGCGGAAGGACGAUAAGCUUGCUUCUUUGAUGUUAGCGGCGGACGGGAGAGUAACACGUGGAUAACCUACCUAUAUGACUGGGAUAAUUUCGGGAAACCGGAGCUAAUACCGGAUAAUAUUUUGAACCGCAUGGUUCAAAAGUGAAAGACGGUCUUGCUGUCACUUAUAGAUGGAUCCGCGCUGCAUUAGCUAGUUGGUACGGUAACGGCUUACCAAGGCAACGAUGCAUAGCCGACCUGAGAGGGUGAUCGGCCACACUGGAACUGAGACACGGUCCAGACUCCUACGGGAGGCAGCAGUAGGGAAUCUUCGGCAAUGGGCGAAAGCCUGACGCAGCAACGCCGCGUGUGUGAUGAAGGUCUUCGGUUCGGAAAGCUCUGUUAUUAGGUAAGAACAUAUGUGUAAUUAACUGUGGACAUCGUGACGGUACCUAAUCAAGAAGCCACGGCUAACUACGUG